AUACGGAGGGUGCAAGCGUUGUCCGGAUUUAUUGGGUUUAAAGGGUGCGUAGGUGGCGUGUUAAGUCAGUGGUGAAAGCCUGCAGCUCAACUGUAGAGGUGCCAUUGAUACUGACAUGCUUGAGUAUGGACGAGGUAGGCGGAAUUCGUGGUGUAGCGGUGAAAUGCAUAGAUACCACGAAGAACACCGAUAGCGAAGGCAGCUUACUAGACCAUAACUGACACUAAGGCACGAAAGUGUGGGUAGCGAACAGGAUUAGAUACCCCGGUAGUCC
rnacentral:rRNA from 1 species